GUCUCAUCCUAAAACUGAUGGCUGCACAGGUGAGAUGAAACAGGAGUAAAAGUGCUUUUGUUCUCCAGCUACCAGUAAGAAUAGGAAGGGUGGCUGAUACAAGUGUAGCCAUCUGCAUGGUUGACUUCAGAAACCAGCCUCUGCAAUAACUUGCCUCCAUCCUCUUCAUGCUGGCACACAGAUUUGGAGCAACCCAUGGCACUGCCUGCCCAACCUGGAGGAUCUCCGGUGUUGUUACAUAUUUUUGAUCUGUUUUCCACCUGAGUGGGUAUAAACCUGCACGGAAACUGCACCACUACAAGUUCUGGUCAAGAUUACUGAAAUAAAUUUAAUUUUUUUCUUUGCUGAUGUAUUUCCAGGGUUUUUUGAAGGUAAGCCCCUUAGAAAACCCAAAAGACAAGCCUGUGGAAACCAAGUGCUUUCUGAUCUGAAAAUCUUAGUCUCCAAGUCUGAAUUUGGAGAGGAGGGUGGGAUGGUGAGCAGAGACAGAUAACUUCUUCCCACUGCUCAAGUCACAGCAUAAAACUAAACAUGUUCCCACAGGUUUUUCAUUAGAUAUCACAACAACGUUAAUUUGCCAGCAUAGCAAGAACUCCACCAGGGCUGCUGAGGACUUCUCAAACCAGUCUAGACAGACAGAAGUGCUAUCAGACAAGCCCAGUUGCAAACCUCUCCCAGAAAGACAACUGUGUCCAAGAUGUCAAAGGCUCGACAGACCCCAAAGGCCUUAUGGAAGUUACAGAAAGUUUCUGGAUUACAAACCAAGAGAGUACAAUUACUUUGUGCUAAAUGAAGAGAAUUGUUUGCCUGCCAUGGUGAUGAGGAUGUGAAGACAACUGGAAAAGAAGACUGACUGCACAGGCUUGGGCUGACUGUACAUUUGUAAGAGCUUUUGCUAUUGCUGCUCCCAGCAAGGAGUGAUUAUGGGCAAGGAACACCCAUAUUAUCCUUGGAAUAUUUUCCCUGCUCAUAUGCAAAUUCCACCUCACUGGCUGUUGUACCAGCUACCACACAAUGUCUAAGCACAUGAAAGAAGCUCAUUGUAGAGAGGCAGAGACCACACAGUCCCAACCCUGCAAAGCUGGGCACUUGCAGAGGACAUUGCAUGGUCACGGCAGAGUGGGAUCCAGGCCGUGCAGCCCUGACCACAGCAGCAGCUCUGGAUGCUCAAACAGAGACGUGCAGGGGCACACGCUAUCAGCACUCCAGAUCUUUGCCCCACCUCUCAUUCCUGGUGUCUUCCCUUUAAAACACAAAUCCUACACCCGGGGACACCCAGCCUUGACCAAAGACUGCAUUAAGUUUUCCAUUCAGUUUUCUACAGGUCAUUAUGUCCCCUGGGCAGUCAGGACUGGAGAUCAACAGAAAGAGGUGAUUCCCAUUGAUACAUGGCAUAAAACAUCUGGGAAAAGGUAAGCUGCAGAGAACCAAAAGGAGAAAACGAAAAAACAGCAGCAGAAUAACAGAGAGACGAACCCAGUGAUAAUGGCUAUGGUAACAAAUGACUUCCCUGAAGCCAAUAUAUUGCAGCAAAGAAAAAUCAAUAUGAGUGUAGGCCCAGACACUAGAAAAUUAAAUCAGAGACCCAAGAAAUAAUUAAUAUUAGCAUUUUAAAUUAUUAACAGGGAGGGGAACACUUUCAAAAGUUACUUUCUAGGCUGUUUCCCAGGCUUGAUAUUGUAAUUGUGAAAUCACACUUUCCCAUUAAAUGAAGUGUGAAAAGAAUUCACAACUAGUGAAUUUGUGGGUCUAAGGAGGCUCAGAUUUUGCAUUUUGCAUAUGUAGAAUCCUGAAAGGGAAAAACUGAGCAAAAAAGGCAGAAGGAUCUAUUUCAGGAAAGCUACAAAACAGAUUUCUACUAAUAUUUUGCACAGUCUGGAAUCUCCUGCCUUCAAAACACGCAGUUAGGCUUGGAGAUUUGACAUACCUGGGCUGGAGAAGACAGAUGGCCCAAAUGUGGGACAAAAUCACAUCUUUCAUUAAAGAUACAGGACCAGAGAGUUUAGUGGUCCUGGUUACAUCCCAAAAAUGAGAGCCACCCUAUACUUGCCAACAGAAGGGACGGCAGAGAGGUGCUGAUGGGCAUGCCUUGCUGCUGUCCUAAAACGUGACCCAGUUCCUUUGCCAUCUUCUUACAGUGGUGGCCCCACUAGAUGGCUACUUCUAGGAAGGGCAGGGAAUGUAUGUUCUUUCUUCCUGUGGUGGAUCUCUGCAGGAUAAAGCUGGCUUUAAGCUGUGCUUUGCAGAGAAGCAUUCCCUGAAAAUGCAAGAAAAGCACUUUGUGGAGGACUGGCUACCAGCAGCCUUCAAAUCUAGUCUGUGCUCUACCACAUGAUCAAAGCAAACUGCUCUUUCCAGACAUGAUGACCUCAUCUUCGACAGCCUUCUUAUGUCAGGAAAUACAAAAGGUGCUUUACUGAUGCGGAAAUUUGAAAGCGAUUUUAUUUAUUAAUUGUAUUUUGUGUGCCUGGAUGAAAUCCCAGCAACUGGGGCCACUCAAUUUUUAUUUAUUUUUUUUUCUCAAGAUGGAUGUAAAAUCAGGGAAGCAAAGGAGAAAGUCAGUGGUGUGAGCUAUCCAUAAGAGCAUUUUUAUGAGUUUGUGCUCACUGCCAGUCUGCUGGAGAGAAGAAAGGAACGGAGAGCCAGACAGCUAGUCGGUUGGGUGAGCUAAAAAUUACAGCUGCGGUAGUAAAUAAAGGCAAGCCAAGGCCUGUUCCCCUGCCCUGAGGGUAGGCAGCUGACCUCCCGGCCCCACUCUACCCCCAGGCAGAACUGCUCCCUGGCUGCUGCCCACCCUGGGCUGUCCCCUGAAUGCCCAGGCACCCGCUGGGACAGGGUGGCCAAGGAAUGUGCCAACCAAGACGGAGGAGGGACACUCGUAACGUUGGAGUUCAUGCCCUGGCCAGUUUAUAGAUGUAGCCACCUGCCUGUGUUUUCAAAGGCAAGGCAUUUUGCACUUGCUGAAGCUCCCAGAAAUGGGAUGGCAUCACAGCUAAAUGUGGGACAGGAGGUUACAGGAGAGCAGAAGGGACAUGGAUGUCCUUCUGGAAGAAACAACCGUAUGAAGAAGUUGGUAGCACAAGGAGCACGACGAUGACUUUAGUUGAUCAGAUACAACAAACGAUCAUAGCUCCAUACCUGAAGACAAAUAUAAAUGCAUUUUUCACCUCCACAAAAAUUCAGCAUGGAAAAUACCAAUAUUUUUAACAAUAUCCUUCAGUCCAGACCCUAAAAUCAAUUAGCAUAUACUCAUUUCCUGAGAAAAUACGACAGUGAUCCACUUGCCUUACAAGUGCUAGGUGGAGAAACGCAGAUAGGAACAUGUUCUGCACGUGGAAAAGAUCAAUUCCAGUGUCUUUUAAAUACCACACACUUCCUACGAAGGUUAAGCCUGUCAUGACUACCUGAUCGUUUCACAUAUCACUUUUAACAAGCUAUUUCUAGAGGCAACUGUUAGAAUGAACCACUCACUGGUGCAGUUUUGGUGGGGAGAAAUAAUUAAUAUUUUUAACUGACUGUUUUAAAUACAAGCAUAAGAUGUUAUGAGUAAUUAAUAAUGUACUAAAUUUGUACCACCUGGCCUAUUUUAACAUUAAAACCUUGUCCUUGCCCCAGUGCAUGCAAGGUCGAACUCUGUUGUCGUUACCCUUUCAAUGACAUCCAGACAACUUGCACAGUGACACUAAUAUGAAGAGACACAUUGAGUUGUAACUACGUUUGCACACUCUUGUCCAACUAAAUUUCACUCAGUGUCUUCUAGAUUUUUAAUAACUACCCUGCUAU